rnacentral:rRNA from 1 species
UACGUAGGGGGCAAGCGUUAUCCGGAAUUAUUGGGCGUAAAGAGUGCGUAGGUGGUUUUGUAAGCGCAGGGUGAGAGGCUACAGCUCAACUGUAGUAGGCCUUGUGAACUGUGAGACCUGAGUGCAGGAGAGGAAAGCGGAAUUCCUAGUGUAGCGGUGGAAUGCGUAGAUAUUAGGAGGAACACCAGUGGCGAAGGCGGCUUUCUGGACUGUAACUGACACUGAGGCACGAAAGCGUGGGGAGCGAACAGG